rnacentral:lncRNA from 12 species
AUGCCGUGUUCAGACUGGGGCCUGGCACGGAGGAUGGUUUUCGGGAGUCCUCAGAAGGCAAUCCCGGUCCACGCCUGUGCCUCUGGCUGCCCGGGUUUGCAGGCCCUCCUGUUCUGUGCGCUGCUUCCCUGCAGGAAGACCUCGCCCCCACAGCACUCCACUUACUCAGGAACUGCUCAGAGCAACUCAUCAGGAGCCCUGAGACCUGCAGCUUUUGGCCCAAAGGGCUAUUUCCUCUGGUUCGAUGGGCGGGAGGGAGGAGGGGGGGAGGAGGAGGAGGAGGAGGGUAGCAUUGGAGGGCUCCCUGAGGAGGAAGACAGCUCUGCUGGAAACAACAGGCGGGAAGAUGCUCCUCUUCAUCUGAGUGUACGCGUAGCUCACUGUGACAACAGCUCAGCUGCCCCCUGCGUGGCCCUCGCUGACUGCCAGCGCUGCCCACAGAUGGACCAACUUUCACAGCAGUGGUCAGAGGCAAAGGCGAUUUUGGAUCCCCCUGCUAUAGCUAAGGAGGCACAGAGAGGUCGAUCCGUUCGCCCGAAGUCACACAGCUCUUACACGGCAGCCUGGCUUCGUCGCCCGAGCUCUGGUCGGUAGGCAGAAUCCUGUCAUACCUCGGAUUUUGGUGCCUUCAGUCUGAAAAAUACACACAUCCAUUUGGUACCCUAGAGGAACUGGAGAAUUGUCUUCCCCUGAAUGAAGCUGGACCAUUCUGGGAUUUGGAGAAAG